rnacentral:lncRNA from 1 species
UUCUCCCCUAAUUUGCUUGUCAGGAGAUUAAAUCACAGCAACAGAAAAUGAAGUUAGUACAUGGGUGUAGUAGGGCAAGCUUAUGAUUCUAUGGCUAGGGAGGCCAAAACCCCAGAGAGGCAGAUCUCUAAGGCCCAAUAGCAAGUCAAUCUAGCCUACUUGGUGAGCUCCAGGGCAGUGAGAGACCAUGUUUCAGAAACAUGGUGGAACAUGCCUAAGGAAAAAUACCUGAGGUUUACCUCUGACCAACACACACACACAUAAACAUAUUUGAACACACACUGAAACACUGUCACACAUGCAGACAUACAAGCAUGAACAUACAAAUCAUGUCUCUGUGGGAUGUUUUAGCAGGGAAAGGCAUAGUUUUAGUGUUUGUCCUUUUAUAGUGUCAUUAAGCUUGUUAGUCCCUCAUUGUGUUUCAGCUCUCCUGAAUAUCUUAGAAGAGAGUAGGCCCUGUGAAAUCUGAAAGGCAAGCCAACAAUAGUUUUGUUUUGCUAUUUUCUCCUAGAGGACUGAUGUGUUCUCCUACCUUCCUUCUUGAACCCACUAGUGGUGCCUAGCUCUCCCAAGCUCUCUGGGGUUCUGGGUAAGAUCAUUUCUGUAACAUCUGUUGCAUUUUCUCUGCCUUUACCCCUUACCUCUUUCUCCCCAGUGCUCAUUUAACUUUACAUCAUUGGCAUGGAAGCAGGUAUAAACUCCUUCCUGUUAAGCCUGAAUAAGGGACAUUUCCCAUCUUGGUAAAUGUGCAAUGGGAAGCUGAGAGUUUUGCUAGGCUCCAAUGAGGAAAUUGCCAUAGAAUUCAUUCACCUGAAGAUAUCCUGCCUGUGGAUGGUAGCAUUUGAUGAGUGUGUGAAAUCAGGUAAGACUCUUCUGCACAGGGCUGGACUGUAGACACAAGAAAGGUGCAGGAGAAGACCAGACACAAGGAAGAGAGAAGACCAGGCACAAGGAAGAUCUGGGGGAAGACCAAACACAGAAUGAAGAAGGCCUGCAAGAAAUGAUAGGAGGUGGCACAUCACAAUCCCAGCCUCUGUGGAUGACACAAUGAUGAAAAAAACCACCAUUCUUGCUCUACGUGCUGGAAGUGUGAAGGAAGGAAGACAGACUCUUAUAAUAGAAAUCAGAUUUUAAUUACUUAGAACAUGAGUAAGACUCAGUACUACCACCAGAAAAAAAAUGACAACACGUCUUGAAGAGCAAAGAUAUGCAACCGGCCUACAUGUCCAUCAAUAGAUGAGGUGGAAAAGCCUAUAUGGGAUACACAAUGGAAUUUUAUUCAGCCCUCAAUCAUCAUCUGCAAGAAAAUGGAUGAGCUGGAGAUCAUCAUAUUCAGCAAAAUAAACCAGGUUUUCCCCCAAAGGACACAGCUUUGGAGAUAACGAAGACAGAGUCUGGUUUCUCACUGAGUGUCAGAGAAGCCGCUACUCUGCAACUGCAAAUGGAAGUUGUCAUUACCAGGCUUUUCUCCACUUCCCUGUGGAGCUGGCUGGUGUGCUUGGUAAUCUGAACAUGGCAUUUUCCCAAGCACAGGAUGUAUAUCUGAGAGGAGGACGGAGCUACUCAAAGCAGUUUCUGAUGAGUCACAGCAUGGGAAAGACUUCAGGACUGGAG